CAAAGGCAUGGUCCCGACCUUACUAUCAGCUCUAGCCCAACUUACACAUGCAAGUCUCCGAGCCCCGUGAGUAAGCCCCUUAAUCCCCCGCCCGGGACGAGGAGCAGGCAUCAGGCACAAAUCUUUAGCCCAAAACGCCAGGCCGAGCCACACCCCCAAGGGAAUUCAGCAGUGAUAAACAUUGAGCCAUGAGUGAAAACUUGACUCAGUCAGAGCUAAGAGAGCCGGUAAAACUCGUGCCAGCCACCGCGGUUAAACGAGAGGCCCUAGUUGAUAGUACAACGGCGUAAAGGGUGGUUAAGGAUAGUAAAAUAAUAAAGUCGAAUGGCCCUUUGGCUGUCAUACGCUUCUAGGAGUCCGAAGCCCAACAUACGAAAGUAACUUUAAAAAGCCCACCUGACCCCACGAAAACUGAGGAACAAACUGGGAUUAGAUACCCCACUAUGCUCAGUCAUAAACCCAGACGUCCAGCUACAAUUUGACGUCCGCCCGGGUACUACGAGCAUUAGCUUGAAACCCAAAGGACCUGACGGUGCCUCAGACCCCCCUAGAGGAGCCUGUUCUAGAACCGAUAACCCCCGUUAAACCUCACCGCUUCUAGCCAUCCCAGCCUAUAUACCGCCGUCGUCAGCUUACCCUGU
rnacentral:rRNA from 1 species